rnacentral:misc_RNA from 1 species
AGAGAGAGAGAGAGAAGAAAAGAAGAAAGAACAAGUUGACAGCCAAAAUCAUAUUAGUCCAUCCCUAUUGAUUAUUAUUAAUACAUCCCAAUAACUAUUAGCAUAGUUUUGACAUGAUCAAUAAUACUAUUAACUUUUAAUUGUUACAAUUAAAACUAGGUGACAACAUACAAUUGAAAAGAAAAACAUAGUUGCAGCAUAAAACAUUUAGGGACUAACAAUUGUAUGGUUGGCUAAGGCUCCGUUUGGGAUUGUGCCAUUGUGGUUGAGAGGCCAAAAGGCUAGUUUGAAAUUGCUUUUUGGAAAAGUACCCUUUUAGAUACCAUUGAAAAAAAAAAGUUUAAAAAAGUUGUUUUGCUGUUUUGAAAUUAUUAUCACUAAAAUAUGUCAAAUUU